rnacentral:rRNA from 1 species
CCUACGGGGGGCAGCAGUGGGGAAUAUUGGACAAUGGGGGCAACCCUGUUCCAGCCAUGCCGCGUGUGUGAAGAAGGCCCUCGGGUUGUAAAGCACUUUCAGUGAGGAAGAACGCCUGGUGGUUAAUACCCAUCAGGAAAGACAUCACUCACAGAAGAAGCACCGGCUAACUCCGUGCCAGCAGCCGCGGUAAUACGGAGGGUGCGAGCGUUAAUCGGAAUUACUGGGCGUAAAGCGCGCGUAGGUGGCUUGAUAAGCCGGUUGUGAAAGCCCCGGGCUCAACCUGGGAACGGCAUCCGGAACUGUCAAGCUAGAGUGCAGGAGAGGAAGGUAGAAUUCCCGGUGUAGCGGUGAAAUGCGUAGAGAUCGGGAGGAAUACCAGUGGCGAAGGCGGCCUUCUGGACUGACACUGACACUGAGGUGCGAAAGCGUGGGUAGCAAACAGGAUUAGAUACCCCAGUAGUC